UUGGUCCUAGCACAAGAGACAUCUAACUCAGGUAGAGUGCAGUGAUAAAAUUACGCAGUAAUGUCUGAGGAUAUCUAUGCCACGCCAGACCUCUCCAAAAAAGUGAGAUUUCAGACAGGGGAGAAGGCGGACGGUAAUGCAGAUGUCUACGAAAUCCCAGACAAUGUGAACAUUUAUGACAACUACUUGCCGCCACAGGGGAGUAAGCCGCUAGAACUACAGGACAGCACCACUGAGGACCCACAGAAAGCCAUUUCGGUCAAUGUACCUUCAGGAGGGAGGAAUCUUCUCAGACCUGCUGCAAUGUUUCUGCUGCUCCUGUGUCUUCUCUUCCUGGCCGGAGUCGUUGUCCUGGUUGUCCUUUUUUUUCAAGACAAAGGCCACAAUGCCGACCUAACCAGAGCGAGAGAUGAACUACAGACAAGUUAUGGUGAAAUGAAAAGCCUCAAUGCCAACCUGACCCAGAAGACAAACCAGCUAGAGAAGGAAAUUGAUCAUUUGAAGGUCAUUGAAAGCAACCUCACUACAGCGAUAGACGAAUUAAAACAGCAGCAAGAGAGCUCAUGCUGUCCUGACAACUGGAUAAGGUUUGGCACUAGUUGUUAUUUAAUUUCCAACUCGGAAAAAAAUUGGAACGACAGCAAGAGCUUCUGUGAAGAGCAGAAUGCUCAGCUGGUGAUCAUAUCUAGCGAACAGGAGCAGAAUUUUAUCAGCUCAUUCCACCGUGUCUUCUGGAUUGGUCUGAGUAAUGAGGCGGGGACAACGGUCUGGAAAUGGGUGAAUGGAUCGGUGGCAGUGCAAAUGUAUUGGGCAACAGGUCAGCCGGAUUAUUGGAUGAAUUCAGAACACUGUGCUCAUAUUCAAGACUUAAAUAGAUGGAAUGAUUUAAAUUGCAAUACUCAAGAGUACUUCCUCUGUGAGAAAAUACUUGAAUGAAAUAAAAAAUGUUGGUACAAUCCUGGACUGAUUCCACAUGUAAAAUAACAAUAAUAAAGUGCACAUUCACCUUUAGUGAAAACAAAUGAGUGCCUCCCUGUGCUGUAUUUUUUUUUUUUUAAAUAUAAAAAAUUGUCUAAUCAACCAAAAAUUUUGCGACGCCCCCUAGGGGUCGCGGACCCCCUGUUGAAGACCUCUGCUUUAGAUCAUGAACUCAGAUUGUUAAAAUAGAUGCUUUAUGGGUAGGGAAUGCACAACAAUGUUUGCCAUAAAAUUGUGGUGAAUUUGUUGUAACUGUUAAAAUAAGCAUUUGGGAAAAAAAAUGAUGGGUGGAAAAUAUUGAUGUUUAAAAUUACAUUAAUUUUAAGUUUAAAUUCAAAGUGGGAAAGGUAAUUGAGCCUUGUCACUGAACCUCGGCAAUAAUGUGUCUGACUGCAAAUCAAAUGUCAGCGUUCAAUGGUAAUCAGGUGGAUUUAGAGGGAACAAGCAGAUGCCCAAACGGUGCUGAGCUUUGACUUCCCGUUUUUUCUGCUCUUCUUCUUUUUCACGCUGUCAUCAGUGUCCAGUCUCUUUCAGAAAACAGACACAACUACUAGAAUAUAUUCAAUUUGGGUGUUUGAUGUGUGAUAGCCGUCAUGUCGGAGCAUGUGUACGCUGAUCCGGACAUCAUCAAGAAGGUUCACUUUGCUCAGGACGUCAAGGAGAGUACAGUGGAUAUCUAUGUCAGCGCGGAGAGCCUGAGAGUGUACGAGAAUCCCUGGGUAGAGGAUACACCAGGACCUGCAGCGGCUCAGCAACGAGCAAUGUCUGUGAUCAGUGAAAGCUCGGGACAGAGUCGUUACAUCAAAGCUUCAAUAUUUCUGGCUGCAGCGUGUCUUCUCCUCCUGGCUGGUAUCAUUGUUAUUGCAGUUCAAAAGAGAGACCAGCUAUCAGCAGUUCACGCUGAUCUCAGGAAAACAACAGAACAACUAACAGCCACCAACACCAUCCUGAGCAGAGAGAGAGAUGCACUGUGGGAGAGGUUUUGUCGCAGAAGACCUCAGAGAUGUAGACAACUGCUUCUUCCGAAUGUCCCUGGGACAGAAGACGAGGACUGAGUGGGUGCAAUGACAGUGACCACAGAACAAUACAUAUUAUAGUUGUUUUUUUAAAUGUAUUAUUAUUAUUAUUUCUUUUUGUGUCACAUCAUAUUAGGUAUCCUACUAAAGAGCAGUAUGUGUGGUUAGGAUUAAAUUAAAUAGUAAUUAAGUGUUUAAUAAUUACUUUUUUUUAAAAUAAUGACUUCUGUACAUUGUCAACAAAAGCAAAUGUUUUAUGCAACAUGCACAUAAGAUCAAAAUACAAGGUUUUUCAGGAGUCUUGAGUUUAGCUGAAUGUUUAAAUAGUAAUCAGUAAAAAAUUCUUACAAUUUCAAUAGGGCCUCCCACCGUUCGGUGCUCGGGCCCUAAUUAUUAAUUAUUAAUCAGUGAACUUAUUUUUUACAUCUUCUGUUCUGAACUUCUCAUGUUACCAUGGUGUCUGUAUCAGCUGCAAAGAAUGUAAUGUCUGAUGUGGCGCAGCUUUUGUACUAUGCAUGUUUUCCCUCUGAUUAUCUCCUCAUUUUUUGUGGUAUUGUACACGGAAAUGAUCAUUUUCCAAAAAUGUAAGAGAUUAAUAACCCGACACCUCCAUUGUAAAAUCAUCAUCACACACAUUUUUCAGGAGCCAAAUGAAAAAUGUGUAAUGAUAGAAAGGUCACAAGGUGAAGAUAGUCAUUGUCAAUGUGAGUGUUCAUAGAAAGAAUAAUUUACUGGGUUGAAAUACUGUUAAUUGUGUUAAGUCAGAAAUAAGAACAUUUGAUGUACUGUAUGAAUAAAUGUAGCCUACCUGAUUAUUAACUGAUCACCCAACUAGACGUUGUUACUGUUAUGUUACUUUAUCCCUGGUGCAACCCUUUAACCCUAGAAAAUAUGUUAAUCAACUACAAUUUUGCUUGUUAAACAUCACUAGUGGCUGAGUUUAGUUCACCUGAAUGUUUUUCCUUUGUUUCUGAAUGCACAGAAGUAAUAGAGGUGCUCAGUGUGGAUGGUUGAGCGUAGAAAACACACAGCUUUGACACCAGACACUGAGGAUCGUCUCCUGCUGUGAACAUUGCUGUUGGGUUUAAGAUUUGCUGUUCGGUAUGACAAUUUUAAUAAUAUCUGAAGCAAACACACACAAGUUUUUAAUGUAAAAGGAAUCUGUUUUGUUAAACUUUGGAAAACGUGUGCUUUCUCCUAGUUCUGAUGUUACCGUGUAAUCAUUUUUUUUUAAAAUUUGAUCUUGUUUUCA